UCCCGGAUGUUAGCGGCGGACGGGUGAGUAACACGUGGGUAACCUGCCUGUAAGACUGGGAUAACUCCGGGAAACCGGAGCUAAUACCGGAUAGUUCCUUGAACCGCAUGGUUCAAGGAUGAAAGACGGUUUCGGCUGUCACUUACAGAUGGACCCGCGGCGCAUUAGCUAGUUGGUGGGGUAAUGGCUCACCAAGGCGACGAUGCGUAGCCGACCUGAGAGGGUGAUCGGCCACACUGGGACUGAGACACGGCCCAGACUCCUACGGGAGGCAGCAGUAGGGAAUCUUCCGCAAUGGACGAAAGUCUGACGGAGCAACGCCGCGUGAGUGAUGAAGGUUUUCGGAUCGUAAAGCUCUGUUGUUAGGGAAGAACAAGUGCGAGAGUAACUGCUCGCACCUUGACGGUACCUAACCAGAAAGCCACGGCUAACUACGUGCCAGCAGCCGCGGUAAUACGUAGGUGGCAAGCGUUGUCCGGAAUUAUUGGGCGUAAAGGGCUCGCAGGCGGUUUCUUAAG
rnacentral:rRNA from 1 species